CGGCAAAGCUAGGCUAGGAUUUGGAAGGUGGUGUGAGGCGAAGCGGCUGGAGGCAGGAGGCUAGCGGAUUGGGGGGAAGAAAAGCCGAAAUGGAUUCCCGGGUUCAUGGAUGGAAGAGAAGGGAGUUUCGAAUUCCUGCAGCUCGGUCUGUCCGGAGAGAAGUGAUCAAGCCCCGGCUGUCGAGAGGCUCAGGGAGCCUUUACGUUUUUUCGCUUUUACCUGCCAAUCAAACUGCUACAAGACAACACCCUGAUCUGGCAUGGACAU
rfam:Ornithorhynchus anatinus Cont21034.2, whole genome shotgun sequence.